rnacentral:rRNA from 1 species
UACGUAGGGUGCGAGCGUUGUCCGGAAUUAUUGGGCGUAAAGAGCUCGUAGGCGGUCUGUCGCGUCGGUCGUGAAAACUUGGGGCUUAACCCUGAGCUUGCGGUCGAUACGGGCAUGACUGGAGUUCGGUAGGGGAGACUGGAAUUCCUGGUGUAGCGGUGAAAUGCGCAGAUAUCAGGAGGAACACCGGUGGCGAAGGCGGCCAACUGGACCAUUACUGACGCUGAGGCGCGAAAGCGUGGGGAGCAAACAGG